rnacentral:rRNA from 1 species
UACGUAGGGGGCAAGCGUUGUCCGGAAUCAUUGGGCGUAAAGAGCGUGUAGGCGGCCAGAAAAGUCCGCUGUGAAAACUCGAGGCUCAACUUCGAGCUGUCGGUGGAAACUUUCUGGCUAGAGUCCGGAAGAGGAGAAUGGAAUUCCUGGUGUAGCGGUGAAAUGCGCAGAUAUCAGGAAGAACACCCGUGGCGAAGGCGGUUCCCUGGGACGGUACUGACGCUGAGACGCGAAAGCGUGGGGAGCGAACAGG